rnacentral:rRNA from 1 species
AGGAUGAACGCUGGCGGCGUGCCUAAUACAUGCAAGUCGAGCGAACGGACGAGAAGCUUGCUUCUCUGAUGUUAGCGGCGGACGGGUGAGUAACACGUGGAUAACCUACCUAUAAGACUGGGAUAACUUCGGGAAACCGGAGCUAAUACCGGAUAAUAUUUUGAACCGCAUGGUUCAAAAGUAAAAGACGGUCUUGCUGUCACUUAUAGAUGGAUCCGCGCUGCAUUAGCUAGUUGGUAAGGUAACGGCUUACCAAGGCAACGAUGCAUAGCCGACCUGAGAGGGUGAUCGGCCACACUGGAACUGAGACACGGUCCAGACUCCUACGGGAGGCAGCAGUAGGGAAUCUUCCGCAAUGGGCGAAAGCCUGACGGAGCAACGCCGCGUGAGUGAUGAAGGUCUUCGGAUCGUAAAACUCUGUUAUUAGGGAAGAACAUAUGUGUAAGUAACUGUGCACAUCUUGACGGUACCUAAUCAGAAAGCCACGGCUAACUACGUGCCAGCAGCCGCGGUAAUACGUAGGUGGCAAGCGUUAUCCGGAAUUAUUGGGCGUAAAGCGCGCGUAGGCGGUUUUUUAAGUCUGAUGUGAAAGCCCACGGCUCAACCGUGGAGGGUCAUUGGAAACUGGAAAACUUGAGUGCAGAGAGAAGUGGAUUCCAUGUGUAGCGG